rnacentral:lncRNA from 1 species
GUGCUCUUGUCUGGGGCUCGAGGAAAGAACAUGCUUCAGGCUCACUGGGGGCUAGAGGACUUCUCCCUGUGGCUGAGGGACAGAGGCCCCACUCCCCUGUGGGCUGUCAGCUCAAGGCUGGCUGCAUCCGCCUUCUCAAAGCCAGCAAGGGCACCCUGAGUCCUCCUCACGCCGAGUCCUCUCUGCCACCCUCUUCCGCCUGCAUCCAGAGGACGCUCUCUGCUGUCAGGGCUCCCCCAGAAACCAGGAUAACCUCCCUCGUUUAAGGCCAACUGUCCAGAGAACAAUGUGCCUCAGGGCGGCCUCUCAUCACACUCAAGCUUCUGGGGCCUCAGCCGCGCUUCUGACCUCAGGUCCAGCCACACAUCCCGCCCCCGAGGGAAGGAUUCAGACCUGGAGCCCUUUUUCUUGAGGAGCUGGGCAGUGGUGGGCUGGACAGCAGAAGGAAGUCCAGAAGCCAGAUCUGCACAACGGACCCUGCCAAGCAGCCCCUGGCCUUUGCCCAAAGUGGAGACGAUGGAGGGCUCAGGACGACGGGGCGAGGUGCUCAGUGCAGAGGAGGGAGCCUGCACCCACUGGGGUAGAGCUGAUGGCCUGAGCAUAUGCGGCACCCACGGGACAGAAUGCUCUUCCCCCAUCCUUGCCCAGGUUGCUGGAGCUGACACCCAGGUGAACGCGGCUGGGACGAAACAGUGGUGCCGAGGACGGCCAGGUGAGCAGCAGAGGACGAUGACAGGAAUUCUGAGUCCGCCUCAGUGAACAAAGCGGCGUGUGGCACACGGUCAUGCCACGAGCCUGAGAGCAGAUUGCAAAGCAAAGCGUGUAGUGCAAUCCAACUUUUGGAAAGAAAAAUAAAUCCUUUAUAUAUGACGGUGUAAUAAAGAAUUGAACCUUGCCCAGAGAGACCUGGCCUCUUCCCCCAGCUUCUGAGAGGUGGUCUCUAAGCCACAUGGGACGGUCUUGGUUUGCCUGGGCCUUUGGACCACACCAGGAGGCCUAAAGUGUGAUUCAGGUAGGGGUUGCGAUGAGCUCACCCUCGAGUGAGCUGGAGACCUCCAUCCGCAUGGGCAGUCAACCAUGGGGCCCCAGCAAAGGCUCUGGGACACUAAGCUCGGGGGAUCCCACCUGGAUGCCCCAAGUGACACUGCCCACAGCUCUGUGGGGAAGGACCCUCUGCAGGUGGGAACUUCCUGGACUCCGGCCUGAGCGCCUUUCCCUGGGUUGAUAGUCAUCUGUGUCCUACCCUUGUGCUAAGUCAUGACCAUGAGUAUAUCAGCUUUCAGUGAGUUUUUCUAGCGAAUUAUCAAAACUGAGGGUGGUCUUGGAGACCCCUACCCUUGUAACUGGUGAAGAAUUGAGGACAGUUUUGUAGAUUAUGGUUCCCUCUAGCCCUGCAAUGAUGUUGACUGUAAGUACAUUAAAGUAUUUGUUAGACACUGGAAAACGAUAUGCAAAAUGUAGGAAGUGGAUGCCUC